CCUACGGGGGGCAGCAGUGGGGAAUAUUGGACAAUGGGGGGAACCCUGAUCCAGCCAUGCCGCGUGUGUGAAGAAGGCCCUCGGGUUGUAAAGCACUUUCAGUGAGGAAGAACGCCUGUUGGUUAAUACCCAUCAGGAAAGACAUCACUCACAGAAGACGCACCGGCUAACUCCGUGCCAGCAGCCGCGGUAAUACGGAGGGUGCGAGCGUUAAUCGGAAUUACUGGGCGUAAAGCGCGCGUAGGUGGCUUGAUAAGCCGGUUGUGAAAGCCCCGGGCUCAACCUGGGAACGGCAUCCGGAACUGUCAAGCUAGAGUGCAGGAGAGGAAGGUAGAAUUCCCGGUGUAGCGGUGAAAUGCGUAGAGAUCGGGAGGAAUACCAGUGGCGAAGGCGGCCUUCUGGACUGACACUGACACUGAGGUGCGAAAGCGUGGGUAGCAAACAGGAUUAGAUACCCGGGUAGUC
rnacentral:rRNA from 1 species